rnacentral:tRNA from 2 species
GCCCGAUUAGCUCAGCUGGUUAGAGCGUCGUACUAAUAUCUUUACGAGAUAUCAAGUCCAUGCGAAGGUCAACAGUUCAAUCCUGUUAUUGGGCA